CCCUGUUCAUGCUCUGUCUCUCUCUGUCUCAAAAAUAAAUAAACGUUAAAAAAAAAAUGAAAAAAAAAAGAAUAUCAAGUAAAUAACAAACUUCUAUAUUAGGAUAAGACAAUAAAUUUUGUCUAUUCUUUAAAUAUAAAGGUACCCUUAAUUUUAUGAUUCAGUCUUUAUUUCAUCUGUGACUUACAGGUCUAGAUCAUUAUUGUGAUUUCCCCUUUUUUACAUCAAAAACUGCCCCACCCCCAAAAUCUUUUCUUGCCUUGCAUUCAGUUUGUUAACCACACCUCACUGGUCAUUUUUACUUAACAGUAAAAGACUUCCCAGUAGGUUUUAACUUCUUUCCUGAUUUUUUGGUUUAGAUUGAUCAAUUGCAGUGUAUUUUACAGGGCUGUUGGUUUUCUUUUACUUUGUUUCUGCAAGGAGGGGGAAGGUGGGUUUUACUGAACUUCAGUCACAUCAUUGUUUCUCCUCUGACCUCCUAAAGUCCUCUGGUUUCUACAUUCUUUCCCCUUCUCCCUUGGUGUCCUCCAGUGCUGUGUCUUUAACCUUCUUUCUUCCCCAUCCUUUGAGCAGAGUCUUCUAUGUCCAGGACUCCAGCUGUUUCCCACCUCUGACAAGGACUCCAGUACCCCUAUCUCUAACCAGAGGCACCCUACCAAAUACCACAUGUGUAUUUUCCAAGUGCUUCCAGAUGUCCUGUCCAGAAUAGUUUGAGGAUAAUGCAAAUGUAAACUUUUGUUCUUCUCUCAAUCUGCUCUUGGUCUUGUCUUACCUUCAUUUUGGUCACCAACAUUCUUCAAGCCUCUGAAGCUAAUAUCCUUGAAAAAUCCUUUAAAAUCCUUUGGAUCUUUCAUUAUAUCCAGUCUGCUCCUAAAUCCCAUCGAUUCACUCCUGGGUGUCUCUCAAAUCCACUAGCUCCUUUCUGUUUCCACAGUUGGCACCGUAUUGGAUCCCUCUUUACCUUCCCUUGGACCCAGCAAUAAUCUCUUUGGUUUCCCUAUCCCCACUCUUUCUCUGAUCUAUUUAUCUAAAUCUUCAUGAAGAUACUUAUGCAUAAAAGCUUUCCAGUCUGACAUUCAAGGGCUUCCACAUUCUGAUUGCCCACCUGCAAUCAAAAUAUCUAUUUUAAAAGCCACCCUUGUCCAGGAAUCCUUUAUUGACAUCACUCAUCAACAGAUCGUCUUUUUAAAUAUAUAUUUUUUUAUUUUAGAAUAAUUUUAGAUUUCCAGGAAAAUUUCAAAAUUAGUACAGAGUUGCCAUACACCCUUCAUGCAUUUUUCUCUAUUACUAGCAAUUUACAUUAGUAUAGUGCAUUUGUCACAAUCAAUAAACCAAUAUUGAUACAUUAUUAUUAAAUAAAAUCUGUACUUUACUCAGAUUUCCUUACUUUUGCCUGAUGUCAUUUUUAGUUACAGGAUCCUACUUAGGAGACCACAUUACAUUUAGUCAUCAUGUUUCCCUAGGUUCUGUGAUAGUUAAUUUAAUGGGCACACAUUAUUCUGGGUGUUUUUGUUUGGAUGGUUUUAUUUUUGCUUUCCUGUUUGUUUUUUGUGCUGAAACCCCAGAACAAACCAACUAGGUGUUUCUGUGAGGGUGCUUUUGGAUGAGAAGAACAUUUAAAGCAGUAGACUGACUAAAGCAAAUUGGCCUCCCAAUGUGGUCGGCCUCGUCCAAUCAGUUGAGGGCUUGAACACACCAAAAGGGUAACUCUCCCCCAAGUAACAUAGAAUUUCCUCUGUCUGACAACCUUUGAACUGGGACAUCAGCUCUUCCUGGUUCUACAGAAGUCUGGCAGCCUUUUGGACUUGAACUGGGACAUGUAUUGGUUGUGCAGAUUUUGAACUUGCUAGCCUUCAUGAUUGUAGGAGCCAAUUCUUUAUAAUUAAUUCAUUUGUGUGAGUUUGAGUGUGUGUGUGUGUGUGUGUGUGUGUGUGUGUGUGUGUGGUGUAGGCUUAGUCUAUUCAGAUUGGUAUUCAUACCUCAGACUGGACUGUGUGUCUUCUAAACAACAGAAAUUUAUUGUUUAUAGUGCUGGAGGCUGGGAAGUCUGAGAUCAAGACAUCAGCAUGGUCAUGUGGUCAUGCUCUGGUGAGGGCCUUCCUGGUUCACAUCUGUCUCCUUACAUGGUGAAGAGAGCAAGGGAUCUUUGCAGGGUCUCUUUUUUCAGAUAACUAAUCCCAUUCGUGCAGCCUCAACCCUCAUGACAUAAGUACCUCCAAAAGCCCCACAUCCUAAUAUCAUCAUCUUCAAGGGUUAGGAUUUCAGCAUACAGAUUUGGUGAGGAUGCAAACAUUUACACCCUAGUGUUUUGGUUUCGUCGUUGUGGAGAAUUUUGGCUAAUACAGGCUCCUCUUGGCUGUGAUAGUUUCUCAGACUUUCCUUCUUUCUGAUGACAUUUGCGGAGUACAAUGCCCUUCAGACUGGCUUUGUCUAGUGUUUUUCUCAUGGCUAGACGGCUUGUGGGUCUUUGGAGGAAGGCUGCCGAGGCGAAAUGCCUUCAUCACAUCCACCGUGUGUAUUUUCAACAUGAUUUAUCACGAUAGUGUUACCCUUGCUCACCUACCUGGCUGAGGUCAUUUCUGCCAGGUUCCUCCACUGUCAAGCUACUUUCUCCCCUCUGCCCAUACUCUACCCCCUGGAAGCACGUUACUAAGCUCACCCACACCCCCGUGGUGGGGAUUAGAUGCUGGACCCUUGACAGGAAGUACCUACAUGAAAUACCUACAUGGAAUUCUUCUGUAUGUGAGGUUCGUCUCUCCCUCCUAUUAUUUACUUAUUCAAGCAUUUAUUUAUGUUAGUAUAGACUCGUGGAUGUUUAUUUUAGACUUUGGAUUACAAUCCAAUACUGCGUUAUUUGUGUGGUUGCUCAAAUUGUUUCAGUGCUGGCCAUUGGGAACUCCUUCAGGUUGGCUUCUUAUUCUAUUACUUUGAAAAAUACCACGUUGCAGUUUAUCUUGUCCUUAACUACAUGCUUGACUAAGCCUCACCAUUAAUCAUGAAUUCAUUGUAUUCAUCUUCAUUCUCUGCAAUGACCAAAGCAUGUACCUAUUCAUUAAUUUGUUCAUUUGUACAACUAACGUCUCCCACCAUGUGGCUGCAUGCUAUAAGGAGUGAGGACUUGGCAGUGAUGAGGUCCAGUGUCACAGAGCUUUUACUGUCUCAUGGGGAAUAAACACACACACACACACACACACACACACACACACACACACAGAGAAACGUGUAUUGAUAGAAAUCGUAAUUAGUGCUAUAUAAGAAAAACAACAUGGGUGCGAUGAGAGAAAAUGGUGGGGGAACCUGCCUCAGAAAAAAACCUUCUCUGUGGGCAUGGGACAUAAGGUGAGAGUUGGAGGGUGAGCGAGAGAUGGGCCAUGAGCAGAGGAAAAUUCCAUGCAGAGGGCAGAUAGAAAUUUCCCAAAGUAAAAAGGAGAUUACAGUGUAAAUGAUAAAUAUUUUCCAAACUAAAUUGCCCAAAUUUAAGUUUUAUUUUAAUUGGUACUAUCCACUGGUUCCUUUAAGCAGUAGAUGAGAAUCUUGGUCAUGGUCUGUGUUACCGUGAUUCAUGCCAGUCACUAAUACAAUCCAUAAUGUCUCUGACAUAUCUCAAUGGCAGGGUUAUAUCUCAUGCACAUCACAGCCUAACAAAGAGUUUAGUCAGUCCGGUCUCCAAGUGGUGAACCCAGAUAGUUUGACCUCUUCUAUUGUGUGGCUCCAGAUUCUGAAACCUUCACUCCAGAGCAGAGUGAGGGGGGUGUGGUGGGAGUGGGAGGUGCAUUGGGGGAUCUCAACGGUUUUCAGAGGCAGAGAAGGUGGUCACAUCCCUUUCAUCUGCAUUCCGUUGGCAAUAAGUCACAUGACCUCAUUUCUUUUGUAUGUGUAGAAAACAUGUUUUAACAGAAAAGACCUAUAGUUCUAUCUCUUCUCGGCAGCCACAGCAGCCUGGUUGGCCUUUGACACGAAGUCCAAGGUGGUAGAGGUAAAUUAUGGGCAAUUAAGAAACUUACUGCAAUAUGGGAAUACACCAUGGGAAGUGGUGCAGCCCUCAUGGGCCUGAAUCUUCAGUCAAUCCAGGUUCACAGGGCUUGUUGUCCAGACCGUUGGCCUGACCUGGCUGUACUUUUCCGUUCCUCACCUCCUGUCUUCUCAAGACCCAGUCUUCGAUCCUGUACUGGUGUGGAUUGUGCAUAAUGGUGAUCACAUGCCCCACCCCAUCCUCAGUGAGCUCUCCUGAACUGUUGAUGAGGUUGACAUCUGCUUUCCCACACAGCACAUGCGCAUAUCUGGGACCAUACCCUCAACUGCGGCGACGGCAAAGACUAUUUUCCACCGCCCAUCGGUGUUGGUGCGGAGGGCCCACAACAGCGCUGGAGCUUCUCAGGGGUCACCAGAGACAGGGCAGCAGCCCCUCCUGUGGAAGACAAAAACACAACACUGUCUCUGCCACAUGUUUCACAGUGUGACGCAUGCAGAGAGUCUUGAGGAACACUAUGGUAAAAAUACUUUUGAAAUGACUGAAGAGUUACUUGCAUGCAUUUCAAGCUGUCAUGGUUAUCUCAUUUAGAGAUAGAAGACAGCUGUUUUCCUUGAGCCCCGAAUGUGUCCCCUACCACCUUCUCUGGCAUUGGGAAGGCCUCCAAGCCCCUGGUCAUUUCUCACCAGUCAAGCUUCCCACAGUGCUGUUCACACUUUCCUCAAGGUUGCAUCUCACAGGACCCAAGUUUAGCUAUUGCUUUUAGAAGGCACAGUGAAUCAUCCCCUUCAGCAAAUAUCAAAUGCGCUAUGCCCUCUGCAAAUGUCCUACCAUCUCCGCUGCUGAGCCAGAAGAAGAAAAGCCAGGAAUGGGAGGACUUCGUUGUAAGCAACCAUCGUUAUUUAUUCCAGGCCUAAUGGUGGAGUCAGAUACAGAAAACAGCUCUACCAGUUAUGUCUGGGAAAGAGUAGUGGCUUUAGAGUUGAAAGAAUGAAUUUGACACAUCUGGAUCCUAGACCUAUUGAGUGACCUUGGGCUAGUCAUCAAUUCUAAACAUGUAUUAAGCACCUACUAUCAGCCAAGUACAUAAGAAUGGAGGUUGUAAAGUAAAUUAUGAGCCAUCAAGGGACUUACUGCAUUGCAGUAUGGGAAAUGUUUUCUCAUUCCCCUGAUGGGUCUACCCUGGCCCACAGUGGAAAGGAUGUCUGUCCCCUCUAUCUUGUAACCAUUGCCAACUUCAACAUCUGGAUGCUUUUACUGCUGCUCUCACCAGUCGAAUUGAUGCCUCACAAGAGCCUGUUUCUUUACAUUGCUGACUUCCAAAAUAAGGUCUCAGAUGGAUGAGCUUGACCGGGGCACCUACGUGAUAGGUCUGUGGUUUAGUUGUAAAGAAGGCCAGGAAAAGGAGGGUGCAAUUUUUUUCUUAAUUUUCCAACUACUAGAUGGGCAUUUAAAAUGUGCCAGGCAGAAAAUAUGGUACAUAAAAAGAUUUCCAAAUGGCACUGAAGAACCACUUGAUCUUUCAUGGAGGCCAUGCUUUUGUUUUGGCAUGAUGGUGAAAUCGCUGUCAGGUGUUCUGAGCAAAGACAGACAGGAACAUAGACCAGGGAUGGUUUGGUCCUGGGUUUGCCACAUUGGGAUAGUUGCAGCAGAAGAACAAGGCUACUAGAUGUCAAGUGGCCUAGAAAGAGGUAAGUAAUGAUGUUCUCAAUGAAUAGGGAGAGCAGAUGGUAACAAGAAUGAGAAUAGUUUUCUGGAAUUUAAGAUCUCAAGCAUUAUGCAAUUCUGAGUAAUCAUCUGGUGUAGGAAUGUGGAUAAGUGUCCCCUUGGUUGCACUGUGUUGAGAUGGUACCCUACCUAGGUCAGGGGAAAGAAUAAUAUGACAUCUCGAGUAUCACUUGACUUGUUCAGUGUAUUUCAAUCACCUUUUCCUUAAGAACUAGACCCAAAUCCUUCAGGAGCUGGUCUGGAGACACCCGAGUGACAACCUAAAGUUUUGCGUACAAAGUUCUCUAUUUCUGGGACAAGUUUUCAGGCAAAUGCAAAGGGAAAUAAGCAUUCCAAUGAGAGGGAUCUAUCAGAAGAAAGUCUUGUAUGGACCAUCUUAUGAGACAGGAAUAUAGUAAAGAGCUGGAAAAGAAACUUCUCCAGGUAGCAUCACAUUAGGGAGUAAGGUUCAUGGUGUCAGCCUCUUAGAAACUGGAACUGAACAAUUCUAAUGUGGAACUGAACAGAUCACUGGUGAUGGACUGACAAUAACUAGAAUCACUUGAGACUAGGUGUAAAAUCAUGCCACACUGUGGUAAGGAUACGACAAAGUCUCUAUAAACCCUCAAAAUGUCCCCUUUGCAGUCAACCCCUCCCUCACCCCUUAGCCCCUGAUGGCCACUGAUCGCUUCUCUAUCCCUCUAGUUUGCUUUUUCCAGAAUGCCAUAUAAAUGGAAUGCAAUAUGUAGUCUUUUGAAUCUAGGCAAUAUACAGUGAAGAUUCAUCAA